CUCCGUGCAGGUCCGUGCUACAUACACAGCUUCGGCUCUUGGCUGAGAGUCGGAACGGGUUAGAGUCGGGUUUUCCCGACACGGUAUGUCCACAAGCCGGGGUUUCACAUACGUUGUCUGCCGUCUGGUUCUCGAAUUCUACUGGAGAGUAUCUGUAGGUAGAGGAGGAACAGAAGGAGCUCACCAGAAAUAGGAGGGAGUUUGUUUAUAACUACACUGCUGUCAUUUUGACCACAUAGUCCACGUCGAGGAAGUUUGAAACAGAAGUGUAAGCGGGUGAGAGCCAAUCAUGUGACACCGAAGCUCCUGUGCUAGCAACACUAACAGUCCCCUGGUGCUUCAUGCUCCCAGUCUGGGCACAGUCACACCAAAACUCCAUAAAUCACAACAAAUUGAGGCAGAGCAGCCAGAGGACAUCAGAUAAAGGUUGCCACAGGGAUGGGGCUCCAUCUUCAUUUGUGGGAGUGGCUGGAGCAAAUUACCACAUAUGGAAAUCCAGCUCGGAAUGAAAGCAUACCGAGCCUUUAGUAGAAUAAAACGUUCAAAACAGAGCGUUCAGAAUAGGGGGAUAUUUGAGGUUUUGGCUGACGGAUUUCUUUUAAAUAAUUUGACCUCAUUAUUUGAAGCUUUGAUCAUG